AUGUGAACUUAUAAGUUUAAAUAUUGUGAAAUAUGUAGUUACUUUGAAAUAAUAUGUGUUUGUGAGUGAUGUGUUAACCUAGAGUAAUAUCUUAGGUCUGUUUUUCUAAAUUACUGCGGAUUUUGAAGAGAAGAUAAUGCGCAAAAUAUGCGUUGGUAUCCAUCACGUAACUCACAUAAAGAAAUCAAUCUGUCUAAUAAACCUCAGAGAAAAAGGAAAGGCUAGAGGGCCCGCACGUCGCGCCUGCCUACAUAUUUUAUUGACCCUGCCUGCUAUACAGGGUGGGGGAGAAGACAGAUUCGUUCGAAGAUAUUUGAUGAUAAAUUCUUGAUUAAAGAUGGUUUGUAAGUCGACCGAAAUUGUUGGUCUCCAUACAUUGUACAGCAUCAGCGUUAUCCCGAGACACAUCCGUCCCCGUCACCCCGUGUUGCACCCCGCAGUACUUUACGGCGUAUCAGUCGGUGCGGUAUUCCCAAACUGCACUUCAGAGCUCCCGGCCGGCAUAAAGAACAGCACACAUAGACAACGCACCGCAACACACAUACUACAUUACGUCACACACACGUAAAAUACACUCUCUCGCAAAAAUCUCCUUGCUAAAUUUCUCCUCACACAAAACUUCUCAAAGGUCAACCGUACACCUAAAUUUUCUCUCCAACUGUACAAGUGUAUUUUAGUGUGUAUUACGCACCGAUGCCCGAAUUCGGAACACGUAACGUAUGUUUUAGGCGAAUUUCUUGGCCUAUUUAUGAGAUGCAAUGUAUGUGUGUCAGUUUUAUAGCGGCCAUUUUGAAAUUUUAUCCGCUGUACAAUGUUUAUGUUUAAUAAAAGAAGGUGUGAAUCUUUGAGUAUGAUAUCGAAAUGUGAUUUGUUCUUACAUUAUUUUCGUUUUCAUGAAAAUACUUAACGAGAUAACCCUUUUGGUGAUGUGCGUCAAUGAAUGAUAGUAUAAUUAGUGUAAAGCAGUUAAAAUAAUUACCUUCUUAAUGAAUACGACUUAAUAAGGUAAUGCGAUUAAAAGAAAAUACGUAUUCAAUAUUCAUUUUAUGCAAAUUUAAAGGUAAAGGUCUCCUCAACAACAGCCUUAAUUAAUCCUCAAUUAGAAGUUUGUGACCGAAUGUAAACAAUUAGGCAUUUAAUAGAUUAACAUUCAGUUUACCCACAUUUUUUGCCUAUUAUUUCAAAACUAAGUCUAAAAACGACUCUAUUCUAUUCUUGUCUUUAAUUUGGCAACUCUUUGUAAGUAGAUUUAGUUAAAUAAUCCGAAUAUCUUUAAUAAUUUAGUUACACAGCGUCCAUUUCGAGUAACAACGCUAAGAUUAAGUUUCUCGUUGCCAGAUGUGCCGACUGCGGUAGCUCUAAAUAAUAUUGUAAAGGUCAUCGCUCAUUUAACAGCACCAUUUAUAUCUCGAUGAAACAACAGAAUUCAGUUAUGUGUUGUCAAAUGAAAUAAAAA